UACUGCAUAUCAGAAAAUUAAGUACCAUUUUUUUACCACCAAAAUGAAGUCUCGCACGCCUAGCAAUAAUCAAUCUCAUACGCAGAUUUGAUUUGGAUUUAUUUAUUCCAAGUGGAAUCAGCAAACUAUGGGAGAGACAUGGAGGAGGGCCACGACUGCUGUACUUUCAUUUAUGAUUAGUGCUUAUGUUAAAAACCUAUUUUGUAAUAACAACUACUCCAUCCAUCCAUCUUGAAGUCUAUUUUUAACCAUCAAACUAUCACUGAGUUUAAUUUUGGCCAUCCAACUUUAAAAUCAGAAAUCUUUGAUCAUCCAACUAUCAAAAUUGUUCAUAUUUACCCAUUUAGCUGUUUUGAAGUAUGGUUUCGCUAACGUGCACGUGUAAGUGGGGUCACAUGCCAGCUCCUUUUUCUCUCACCUCCCUCUUUUUCUUCCUCCUCUCUUUCUUGCCC
rnacentral:lncRNA from 1 species